AAUUUUGGACAAUGGGCGCAAGCCUGAUCCAGCCAUGCCGCGUGGGUGAAGAAGGCCUUCGGGUUGUAAAGCUCUUUCGGACGGAAAGAAAUCGCGCAGGCUAAUACGCCGCGCGGAUGACGGUACCGUUAUAAAAAACACCGGCUAACUACGUGCCAGCAGCCGCGGUAAUACGUAGGGUGCGAGGGUUAAUCGGAAUUACUGGGCGCAAAGCGUGCGCAGGCGGUUGAUUAAGACAGGCAUGAAAUCCCCGGGCUUAACCUGGGAACUGCGCUUGUGACUGGUCAGCUAGAGUACGGAAGAGGGGGGUGGAAUUCCACGUGUAGCAGUGAAAUGCGUAGAGAUGUGGAGGAACACCGAUGGCGAAGGCGACCACCUGGACUGAUACUGACACUGAGGUGCGAAAGCGUGGGGAGCAAACAGG
rnacentral:rRNA from 1 species